AUUGAACGCUGGCGGCAUGCUUUACACAUGCAAGUCGAACGGCAGCGCGGGCUUCGGCCUGGCGGCGAGUGGCGAACGGGUGAGUAAUACAUAGGAACGUGCCCAGUAGUGGGGGAUAGCUCGGCGAAAGCCGGAUUAAUACCGCAUACGACCUGAGGGUGAAAGCGGGGGAUCUUCGGACCUCGCGCUCUUGGAGCGGCCGAUGGCAGAUUAGCUAGUUGGUGGGGUAAAGGCCUACCAAGGCGACGAUCUGUAGCUGGUCUGAGAGGACGACCAGCCACACUGGGACUGAGACACGGCCCAGACUCCUACGGGAGGCAGCAGUGGGGAAUUUUGGACAAUGGGCGAAAGCCUGAUCCAGCAAUGCCGCGUGUGUGAUGAAGGCCUUCGGGUUGUAAAGCACUUUUGGCGGGAACGAAAAGGACUGUGCCAAUACCACGGUGCGAUGACGGUACCCGCAGAAUAAGCACCGGCUAACUACGUG
rnacentral:rRNA from 1 species